ensembl:lncRNA
GUCAUUUUGAGUGGAUCCUAAUCCAAUGACUGAUGUCUUUAUGAAAUAUAGAAAUUUGGACACAGAGGCAGAUAUGAACAGAGGGAAGAUUAUGUGAUGAGAAUAGGAGAAUGCCACAAGACAAGGACACCAUGGACUAACAGCAGCUGGAAGACACAGAGAACGAUCCUCCCUGUCAGGUUUCAGAGAGAGCACUGCCUGCUGACAUCUUGAUGUUAGACUUCUAGCCUCUGAAAUGGUUCUAGAAGUCAGUAGCAUUCCUUGGCUUGUGAAAUCCUUCCUCCAUCUUCAAAUCCAAAAACAGAUAAUCUCCCUAUUUUAAGGUCAUCUGAUUAGGAACUUCAAUGCCAUCUGGAAUCUUCAUUCCCCAUUGCCCAUAUCCAGGUCCAGCACUGACCACAGGGGAUCCAUGACCCCUUCUUCCAUCCAAGAGCACCAGUGGACACGUAUUCUGCAGCCUUCAUAGUAAGUUGUUUCUGGCAAGAGAAGGACAACAAACUGCUAAAGGAACAAGGAUAGACUCCGCUUCUUAAAUAUUGGCAAACAGGCAGCGAGGGCUGGAGACACUUUCUCAGGUCAGUACACAGACAAAACAAAAAUAUCUGAUGGACUCUCAAAUUGGUCUAGGAGCUAAACACAGCAAGCAACACUCCAGUUAAUAUAAAGAAGGCUUCCAACAGAAACCAAGAGGAGAGCAAGGAGAAAUGCACAGAACUUGCCCGUUCUGUUGAAAGACAAACUUGAGGCCUAAACUAGCUUCUAAAUGAAGGACGAGAGAACAUUUCAAUAAAUAAAUACCUACAUAAAAUAAAAUGGUAACCCUAUAAAAACAUUGAGUAACAUAAAAUUAGAAACUUUUUAUUCAACACUUUCAGGGAAGGCUCUAGAAAAGGAGCAAAAUAAUCUUCUCCGUUUUCUUAAUGCAUUUCAUGAAACAAGGAUGUUCAUGGCAUGAACGUUGAGAACGUUUGGGCAAUAGACCUUAGCAAAGAGUUGGCCAGGGAGAAAGUACAGAUGGCAAGAGAGCUGGAUUUAAUAAAGAAAGGUGAAAGACAGUGACAGAAUUUGUUACUUUUAGAAUCUUUAAAGUAAAGAACAGGACUGCUACCAGAGAAAUCAAAGCAGUGACAUUGGAGGCCGUUCGAAGAGUCAGAACAAAACAUGAAACAUGAAUGAGAACAUGGGACGUGAGCAGGAUCGACUAGAGAUCUAAGCCGUGAUAACUGGGAAAGUAAGAUAGCAGCAGGGACUAGAAGAAUUUCUUGAAGAAGAGAACUAUCUUGAGUUGAAUAAAUCCAUUAAGUACCAACAAAAGUAUAAUUAAAAUAAACUAAUAUCCAGAUAGAUCAGGUGAAAUUUUCACUUCAAGGGCAAGAAAAACAAUGCUAGAAAUAUCCAAUUUGAAAAAUGAAGAAGGUCAGUUUGAAAUACAAAUGUUGCAGACAAAUGGAAAAAAAUAUAUCAGAAUGACUUCAGUAUUCUUUUUUCUUUGAGGAGGAAAAGUUGAAAAUGGAAAAUUUUCUUCAGAAGUAAAAGCACUUGUCUCUGAUUUGGUUUCCCCUUUCCAAGUGCAGCUAAGAUUGCAAUUCUAUGCCUGUUUAAACUUCGUGUAGGUGAAGUUGUAAUGAUAAAAUGAAAAUAGGUAGUCAGGGGCCAGCCCGGUGGUGCAGCGGUUAAGUUCACACAUUCUGCUUCAGUGGCCCAGGGUUCACUGGUUCGGAUCCCAGGUGUGGACAUGGCACCUCUUGGUGAGCCAUGCUGUGGUAGGUGUCCCACAUAUAAAGGGGAGGAAGAUGGGCAUGGGUGUUAGCUCAGGGCCAGUCUUCCUCAAAAAAAAGAAAGAAAGAAAAUAGUCAGAUAGAUGAGAUAUAAAUAGAUAUCUCCUUUAAGGUAGUGCUAGUUGAAAUCCAAUGCACAUCCUACUGCUGGUCUGGGACAAUAUAAGUAUAGAAACUGAAUAUAAAUUGAGACUAUGCAUUUAGCCCUUUAAUAGCAAUUUGCCAUUGCAUGACAUCUGAGAACGCAACAGUAUAUUUUAACAAAAAUGAGUCUGCAAAAAUUUGAAAUUACAAAUAAACUUGCUCUUUACCACAGAUAAUUUGAGGAACUCUUAUCUCAAAAGAUGAAGUGGGGCUUAAAAUGCAAAUCUAAAGACAUUUCAAGGAAACAAAAACAGGAAGGAGGUACAUGUUGAUUGGCGACAUCACAUUGAAGCAAAAGAGAUAAACUUGAUAUUCUAUCAGUUAGUAUUUUUUUUUUUUUGAGGAAGAUUAGCCCUGAGUUAACUGCUGCCAGUUCUCCUCUUUUUGCUGAGGAUGACUGGUCCUGAGCUAACAUCCGUGUCCAUCUUCCUCUACUUUAUAUGUGGGACGCCUACCACAGCAUGGCUCACCAAGCGGUGCCAUGUCCGCACCCGGGAUCCGAACCAGCGAACCCCGGGCCACCGAAGCAGAUCGUGUGCACUUAACCACUGCGCCACCAGGCAGGCCCCUCAGUUGGUAUUGUUUAGUGACAAAAAUUGGCAAACUCAAAUAACUUUGACUCAACAAGAAAUAGCUUUCCCUCUCUCUCUGUAAGAAUUCUGGAGGUCAGCCAUCCAGGGCAGGUCAGGCGAGUCCUUCUUCACCAUCCUUAGAUUGAGGUCUAUAUUCUCAAGGAGGAAGAAUGGAAAGACAACAAGUUGUCUGCCUCCCAGCUGAAUUAGCCCCUUUAAAAAAAUAAUUUUCUGUGAUCACCACCUCAGAAAUUCUGCUUUUAUCUCAAUGGUUGAAAGAGCCUAAAAUGGAAUCUGAGAAGUAUACUUUUACAGAUGGGCACAUCCUUGUCCCUGACUUUACAGGAACAGAGUCCUAAGGAAGAACAGGGCAAGGGACAAUGAGUAGAUAACUUUCAGCCUUGACUUUUCGAAUGGUCCCCAUCACUACUAUUGUGACUAGGUUCUUCCCGCUUCUAGACGAAACUAGAACUAGAAACUCUGCUUCCUGUCAGCUUCUCCUCCAUUUUUGACCAACUCAGGAAAUGGCCCUAGAUUUCAUUUGCUUCAAUCAAAAUUCAGGAAGUUGUGUUUAGCACUAUUCAGCAUAUAAGAAAAAGUUAUGACUCAGAAAAUUUCUUCACAGCUGUUCCAUGUGGUAGAAAUUAUUUCUUUUCCCUUCUACUACAUUUUAACUGGAGUUGAACUCUCCAACUGGAGUUAAAAAUUGCCUUGCUUAGUUGGCUAUAUGCCUAUCAAUUAUUCACAAUAACUUCCUUCCAUAAGUGUAAAUCUUCUUUCAAUACAUCCAAACACAUCGGGUGUGAUGUUGUCACGUUCUUGUGGCCAUCUCCCCGGAGCCCUCGGAUUGUCUCUUCAGUCAGGAACAGAAAGGUCAGCUGCACAGCUGUUGCCCUGAGAUUUUGUAUUCUAUAACCUUCUUUCUCUUGUGCUGAGCUCCCUCUUUCUUGGUUUCCAUUUAUUACUGUUUUCUGUUUCACUACUUCACUUUGGGGAGACCGCUCUUUCAAUAAUUUCCUGAGAAAUAGUCAAGGGAAAUCAAUUUUUUGAGGUCUUCCUUGUCUGAAAAACUUUGUUGUUCUAUCAUCAUAUGUAAGUGAUAUUUAUAUUUAGUAUAGAUUUAUAGGAUAGAAAUAAACUUUCCUCAAGUUUUGAAGGCAUAUUUCCAAUUUGGGAUUAAACUUCCAGGGCUGCAGGUAACCAUUUGGAUGCUAUUCAGAUUCCAUAUGCUUCGCAUGUGCCCUUAUUUUCUUUGUCUCUCUCUAAAACACUUUAACGUCUUAUCUUUGUGCCCAGUGUUGUAACAUUUCCUGAUCAUAUGCCUUGCGGUAGGUAUUUGUGUCAUUAAUUGUGGUAGGCAUUUGACAGAUCUUUUCAACCAGAAAACUCAAAGCACUUGAGUCUGUAAAAAUUUUUUAAUUUAAUUGUUUUGCUGGGUGGAGUACUGUACGAUUUGGAAUUCUUAUUACAUUCAACCUGUAGAACUAAUCCUGUUGUAUUUUUAAACUUUUCUAUUUAUCAUAUUUUAAACUUAUGAUUUGCUUUAUCGGUGAUUUCCGCAACUUUAGCUUGUAAGCCAUCUGUUAUGUACUGAAUUGUGUCCCCCAAAAUUCCUAACCUCCAGUUGAAGUCCUAACCCCAAGUGCCCCAGACCAUGACUAUAUUUAGAGAUACAGUCUUUAAGGAGGCAAUUAAAUUGAAAUGAGAAUAUUAGGGUAGACCCUAAUAAGAAGAUGAAAUAGGAACACAGAUAGCUAAAGACAUACAGAGAGAAGACCAAGUGAAGACACAGAGAGAAGACAGCCAUCUACAAGCCAAGGAGAGAGGCCUCAGAAGAAAUCCAACCCUGUGUACACCUUGAUCUUGGACUUCUAGCCUCCAGAACUGCUCCUCACCAUCCCAGGCAACGAAGGUGUUGAUAACGUGUUGAUUUGAUAUUGAGAAGAAGCAACUAAGAAGAGCGGGAACUUCCGGAGAACAAUGUUAAAUCAGGAGACACUAUUCUCUGCCUACAUUAAUCAAAUGUCUAUAAAUUAAGCGUAAAUUACACUUUAAACUGGAAAACAAUUCAAAAUUGUUGUGAAAAACUGUAGACUUUGGAGUCAGUCAUGCCUGGUUUUAACUCCUGACUUUCCAGCUGGGACAACUCAUGAAGUUUUCUUGAGGCAACAGCAGAUCUUAAAGAUAACACACUAGUGCUUUUAACACAGUGCUGGCAAAUAUUAGCUGGCAGGGAAGUGGAGUUAUCGUAUGAUUGCUGUUAUUGUUUUGGUGGUUAUUUUGAUGAUUGUUAUCAUUUGAUUAGUUAGGGCCCCAGAAGCUGGGAAAAGGAGGAGUAAUAGCAAAUCAGCAAAACAUCAUCUUGUGAAGAAAGAAGUGGUGAAAUAACUAUGCCCUAAACAGUACAGAAAUAACUCCCUGGUUUGUGGGCUAAAGUUUGAAUUAUUAUAAUAUGUAUUAUUUCGAGACCCUGCACAAAAGCUCUGAUAAGUGCCUCCUCUCUUUUGUGGCUGAUAUGGAGGUGAUUAAGAAUAUUAUAAUCGUUAGCACUUUAGAUUUAUUCUAUUUAUUGUGGUAGGUAAAAUAAUGGCCCCCCCAAAAUAUCCAUUUCCUAAAUCUGAGAACCUGUAACUACAUUACCUUAUGUAGCUAAAGGGACUUUGCAGAUGUGAUUAGGGCUAUAAACCUUGAUAUGGGAAAAUAUCCUGUAUUAUUUGGAUAGGCCCAAUUUAAUCACAUGAGCUCUUAAAAGCAGAAGAUGGAGGCAGAAGAGCUGGUCAGAGAGAUGUAACACGAGAAGAACCUGAUCCAUCAUGGUUGGCUUGGGAGAUAGAGGAAAGGGGCCAAGAGCAAAGAGGGUGGGGAUGCCUCUAGUAAAUGGGAAAAGACCUUGGCUACCAGCUCAACAACUGCAAGGAACUGAAUCCCACCAACAUCCCAAAUGAGCAUCUUUUAGAACCUCCAGGAAGGAACACAGCCCUGCCAGAAGCUUCAAUUUUGUUCACUGACACUUAUGUUGGACCUCUGUUAAAAGAAUUAUAAAAUAAUAAAUUGUGUUGCCUAAGCUGAUAAAUUCAUGGUCAUUUGUUAUGGCAGAAAUAGAAAACUAAUAUAUCUAUGACUGAAAAAGAUUAUGUACAUAACUAAACACUGAUGUUCUUUAAUGCCAGAUUAUGAUUGCUGAUCUAUAUACCUUGAAGUUAUAUUUAUUGGAGGAUAAAUCUUGAGAGUGUUAAUAUGCACAUAACCAAAAUAAAAAUUUUACUGGACAUAUGUUUCAAUAUUUGGGAUACAAAAAUACCAAUAUAUUUUUUAGCAAUAAUGCAUAAUACAAUAC